AUGAUCAAGUUACAACCUAAGAUCUAUGACUAUAUUAUGUUAACUGUUCGUAUUUUGUUCAUUCCAUCGGUAUGCUCCCAGGUACCUGUAAUUGUGAUCUGUUUGCCAGAACCAAGGGGUCUUUCUGUGGAAACCUUCACGAGCAAUCGUCGUUUUUUGAUGGUUUUUCCGCUUUUCACAGCUGCUCUUUCCACACCCCCGGAUAUCUGGUGCCAAACCGUCGCCCCUUUCCUUAUAUAUAUCGAGUUUGCUAUCUUUGUGGCAUUGAUUGUACAAGUUCGUGAAGAGGGCUGGACGAGUAGAAUGAGGGAAAGCGGCUCGAUCGAGAAAAAAGAGGAGUAG
rnacentral:rRNA from 1 species